CAUCCAUUAUAGUGGUCAGGGAUGCUGACUGCGAUUUUGUAGGGCCUGGGUUCGAAUCCCGGAGAAGUCAUGGAUGU